rnacentral:rRNA from 1 species
AGUGAGCGCUGGCGGUAGGCCUAACACAUGCAAGUCGAACGGCAGCACAGUAAGAGCUUGCUCUUACGGGUGGCGAGUGGCGGACGGGUGAGGAAUACAUCGGAAUCUACUUUUUCGUGGGGGAUAACGUAGGGAAACUUACGCCAAUACCGCAUACGACCUACGGGUGAAAGCAGGGGAUCUUCGGACCUUGCGCGAUUGAAUGAGCCGAUGUCGGAUUAGCUAGUUGGCGGGGUAAAGGCCCACCAAGGCGACGAUCCGUAGCUGGUCUGAGAGGAUGAUCAGCCACACUGGAACUGAGACACGGUCCAGACUCCUACGGGAGGCAGCAGUGGGGAAUAUUGGACAAUGGGCGCAAGCCUGAUCCAGCCAUACCGCGUGGGUGAAGAAGGCCUUCGGGUUGUAAAGCCCUUUUGUUGGGAAAGAAAAGCAGCAGGUUAAUACCCCGCUGUUCUGACGGUACCCAAAGAAUAAGCACCGGCUAACUUCGUG